rnacentral:rRNA from 1 species
CCUACCGGGAGGCUGCAGUGAGGAAUAUUGGUCAAUGGGCGGAAGCCUGAACCAGCCCAGUAGCGUGCAGGAUGACGGCCCUACGGGUUGUACACUGCUUUUAUACGGGAAUAACUCGCCUUACGUUUAGGUCUUUGCAUGUCCCUUCUGACUAAGGACCGGCUAAUUCCGUGCCAGCAGCCGCGGUAAUACGGAAGGUCCGGGCGUUAUCCGGAUUUAUUGGGUUUAAAGGAAGCGUAGGCCGCAUGUCAAGCGUUCUGUGAAAUGUCCGGGCUCAACCCGGGACUUGCAGGGCGAACUGGCGUGCUGGAGUGCGCGGAAGGCAGGCGGAAUUCGUGGUGUAGCGGUGAAAUGCUUAGAUAUGACGAAGAACCCCGAUUGCGAAGGCAGCUGGCUGCAGCGGAACUGACGCUGAUGCUCGAAAGCGCGGGUAUCGAACAGGAUUAGAUACCCCUGUAGUC